GUGUGUCUUUAUCUAUGGCAAAUCACAAACAACCGAAUUGUAUAAAUAGAGUCCUAUCUAAUUAACUUAUUCUUCACGUCACUCAAGGCCACUAUUAUUUAUUUUGGCCGCAAUAAGGCUUUCAUAAUUUCCCCUCUAUUAUUUAUUUGCACUGUCUAAUUUUUUCUCUACAAAGAGUUUAAUUGUUGGUUCUUAUGUACGGAAGUUGAUUUGAAUUUGGUAUAAUGGUUUUGCCAGAUGUAUUCUUCAUACUAAAAAUAUUUCUUUCAAUUUGUAUUGUUGACAUUCGCCCACAUAUUGCUUUUCAUUUUAGGUUGUCAGUGCUAUACGCUCCACCGUUACAGUUUACAUUACAGGAGUGAAGUAUUUAAUUGGUUUGCAUUUUCCCUCAGAUAUUCUUUUACUCUCAGCCUUUCCUAUAUUGCUCCUAAACAUUCUGUUCUUACUGUACUAUAUGGCUACUCUAAUUGUAAGAGAUGCAUCCUUACUGAAUUAUUUUAUGUUUGUUCUCAUAAUAGAUUUAUGUAGCUUCUUAUGCAUAGGAAAAACAGAGAAUCCAUUUCUUCAAAUAUGAGGUUGUUGUCUAGGCCCGGGCCUUGGUUUUCUGGAUUAUGAAAAGGAAUAUACUCAGUUCAGCUAUUACCAAGCCAUAGGUGUGAAUGCUUUGUUAUGAAAUGAAAAGUGCACGCCUUUUGUCGUGAGCUGAAAUCCUAUAUGGGUUGUGAUUUUUUGUUCUGUACAUUGGAGAAAGCAAUGGUGUAUGUUUGAGAUAAAACAUUGGGGAUGAAAGGGAUUAGUUCUACUAGGGACAUAAUUAUUGAAACAUAUCUGCAUGUAUUCUAUUUUUGUGGGUCUGACUAAUAUUAGGAUCUUACUUUUCAUUCCAUUUCUAUAGAAUCUCAGGUUGAUAUUGGGAUCAUUAGAAAACAGAUGGAGCAAGAGGAUCAGCGAGUUGCCAAGUAUUCCAUCGAGUCGAAGAGAUCCUUGCUAGGAUUCCAUGCAUUACCAAGUAGUACUAAGCCUGACUUCAACUGUUCCUGGUUCAUGCUUGCAAAUUCCCAAGGUUGAAUCGAUGGCCUUGGGUGUUCUGCCGGCUCCACCCAUCGAUGCAGAGGUGCUGACAGCACACCCAGCAUCAAUAGAUCCUGCAGAAGUACCAUCAUCCUCCCACAAUUUGGCAUGUUCAUUCCUUGUAUAUACUUUACACGUUCCUUUGUCUUUUCGUGAGUGUUUGUUGUCUUGGUUGUUACUUUUAUACAAGGAUUUACUUAGGAAGUGACCACAUAUUCCCCAUUCCCACAUUUUAGGCUUUCAGUUACUGUCUAACUAUGUUGAUCCUAAAAUAUGUUCUCAGUGCGUGUGUUAGUGUCAUGUUUAGAUAUGUAGGGGCAGUCAAUUUUGCUGGUAGUUUGGUUUUCAUCGUAGCUUCAUAGCUUUUACUCUUGCAGCUACAUUAGGUACUUAAUUUCAGUGCCUAUUUUGUGAUCCAGAAAAUAAUAUCACACCUACCGAUUAAUGUCUGAUGUAUAUGUGCUCCAGGCCAGGCGCUUCGUCCGACAUUUUCGUUGGCACAACUACUCUGCCCAACUCUCGAGGAUCUUACUGACAUAUUAUCAUGGACCAGAAGUUGUCUCGGUGCAAAGCUGGCCAGAGAUAUGGUUCAUUGAUGGCAGUUUUAUCUGAUGACAUUCUUGUUCUUCGUACCAAAUACUGAUGGAGGUAACACUGAAUAAACACACCAUGUUUUAUAAUAUAAUUUAUGUCCAAUGAUAACAAGAGAUUAUUGGCAAACAAAUAUAUGCUGCAUAGUACCGUCGGUUUGAUUAUGACAUAAAUUGGUAUCUGAAACACAUUCUAGAGAAGUUUGUCUGAUGUCUUUUGCAUGUAACUAAUCCCAGCCAUUUUCCGUGGUUCUUGUCUAGUGGUGCAAUAUAUUAGUAUAUCUCUCCUUCAUUGAUUUUUUUCUACAUACUUAUACUCUUAUGUAAUUUCCAGUGGAGGCACUUUUGAUAUCAGGUGGUCUCGUCCUUUACUUUAGUGAUAUGCUGGCUGGUAAUCUUUAAGAGGUCUUGCGGGGUGGUGUGCUUCAUGUGGUUUCCACUCUGCCUUCGCUUCUUACUUCUUUGAAUGGGAUGGGAAUGGUGCAUUGCAGGAGACUUGGCCUCAAAUCAAAAGGCUACAACUACUCAUUCUAAACGGGGACAUAAAAAUGCAUGCUGUGAAGGCAUGGGUUUCACUGACUGAAGAAAUCAGCAAAUCAAAUAUUGAUGGAGCUUACACAAAUGGAAAUUUUCAUGGUGGAUGGGUUCUCAUCACAAGAGAGACUUUCAUAUCCGGAUGCCUUUUCUGUAGAACUGAGAACGGCUGAGGAAGCAAUUAACCUGGCAUUCGUCCCGGGAAUAAUUCGCGUGGUGGAAACAGAUGUGCUGCUUGUCCAUCAGGCAUUGAACAAUACUCAGAUGGAUUCCUCUUUGUUGGCCCAGGUAAUUGAAGACCAGAACUUUUGGUGCAAGACGUGAUUUUCUGACUGCACUAUUAGCAAUGUGUAGAUGCUCUGCUAACCAGGCAGCUUAUGGCCUGGCAAAUUUGAGCGCUAACUGUAAUUUGAAUGAAACCAUGUAAUGGGAGUAUGAAUUAGCAGCAGCUAUUGCUGGGAUUAUAAUGGGCGAGUUUGCCUAGAUCGUUGAGUAAUAGAGUGAUUGCUUAGGUUCAAAAGAAUAAAAGGUAGAACAGAACCUACUAUGUGAUGAAAUCGAGCUAUACUUAUCACGAUA